CCAGCCUCCCCAAGACUU
rnacentral:tRNA from 1 species